AUGCAGGAACAUUGGAAUACAUUUAACUGCAGGCCGUUCAGUUCAAGUUGGAAGACAUGUGAUUUUGAUGAGAUGAAUUGUGUACAAAAAUUGAGAGACUGCGAGAAUGGCGACUAAUGUUCUAAAUAAGUUUUUUAAUCAUCUUGUUGGUGUAAUAAAUAUUUACUUAUUUAU